UACGGGGGGAGCAAGCGUUGUUCGGAUUUACUGGGCGUAAAGGGCGCGUAGGCGGCCACCGCAAGUCGACUGUGAAAUCUCCGGGCUUAACCCGGAAAGGUCAGCCGAUACUGCGGGGCUAGAGUGCAGAAGGGGCAACUGGAAUUCUCGGUGUAGCGGUGAAAUGCGCAGAUAUCAGGAGGAACACCGAUGGCGAAGGCAGCUCGCUGGGACGGUACUGACGCUGAGGCGCGAAAGCGUGGGGAGCAAACAGG
rnacentral:rRNA from 1 species